AUACGUAGGUGGCGAGCGUUGUCCGGAUUUACUGGGCGUAAAGGGAGCGUAGGCGGAUUUUUAAGUGAGAUGUGAAAUACUCGGGCUUAACCUGAGUGCUGCAUUUCAAACUGAAAGUCUAGAGUGCAGGAGAGGAGAAGGGAAUUCCUAGUGUAGCGGUGAAAUGCGUAGAGAUUAGGAAGAACACCAGUGGCGAAGGCGACUUACUGGACGAUAACUGACGCUGAGGCUACGAAAGCGUGGGGAGC
rnacentral:rRNA from 1 species